ACAUUUUUAUGCUCCCCGAAAAAAUUUCGGGGGAGCAUAUAGUCGCCGCCUUGUCCGUCCGUCCGUCCAUCCGUCCGUCCGUCUUUCCGUCCGUCCGUCCGUCCGUCCCCUUUUCUUGUCCGGGACAUAACUUUGAAACAACAAGAGGUAUCAACAUGAAACUUUGUAGGUAGAUAGAUCUCAUUGAGUAGGUGUGCAGUGCACAAGAACCGUAACUCUGCCUUGCCUAAUUUUUGAAUUACCCCCCUUUGUUUAUUUUACACUUUGAAAUUUGUCCGGGACAUAACUCUAAAAGUAUAAGAGGUAUCAACAUGAAACUUUGUAGGUAGAUAGAUCUCAGUGAGUAGGUGUGCAGUGCACAAGAACGGUAACUCUGCCUUGUCUUAUUUUUGAAUUAUCCCCCUUUGUUUAUUUUACACUUUGAUCUUUGUCCGGGACAUAACUCUUAAAGUAUAAGAGGUAUCAACAUAAAACUUUGUAGGUAGAUAGAUCUCAUUGAGUAGGUGUGCAGUGCACAAGAACCAUAACUCUGCCUUGCCUAAUUUUUGAAUUAUCCCCCUUUGUUUAUUUUACACUUUGAACUUUGUCCGGGACAUAACUCUAAAAGUAUAAGAGGUAUCAACAUGAAACUUUGUAGGUAGAUAGAUCUCAUUGAGUAGGUGUGCAGUGCACAAGAACCGUAACUCUGCCUUGCCUAAUUUUUGAAUUACCCCCCUUUGUUUAUUUUACACUUUGAAAUUUGUCCGGGACAUAACUCUAAAAGUAUAAGAGGUAUCAACAUGAAACUUUGUAGGUAGAUAGAUCUCAGUGAGUAGGUGUGCAGUGCACAAGAACGGUAACUCUGCCUUGUCUUAUUUUUGAAUUAU